UUGGUUCUGGGUUCAGGACAACGCCUGGCGCCUUGUUUACACCUUGCAAUUCAAACAAUAAACCCAACCUGGCUAGGGGAAUAAUGGCCAAACGGUUAAUUAUAACUUAAUUAACCACCCUUUAAUCCUGGAAUAACCCGGGAAAACGGGUCCAAAAACCGAAACCAACCAUCCCCCCCUGGGGUGGUGGUGGAAAGCGUUAUGGGAGUGGUUUUAGAUGGGCUCACGGCCUAUCAGCUUGUUGGUGAGGUAAUGGCUUACCAAGGCGACGACGGGUAGCCGGCCUGAGAGGGUGACCGGCCACACUGGGACUGAGACACGGCCCAGACUCCUACGGGAGGCAGCAGUGGGGAAUAUUGCACAAUGGGCGCAAGCCUGAUGCAGCGACGCCGCGUGAGGGAUGACGGCCUUCGGGUUGUAAACCUCUGUUAGCAUCGAAGAAGCGAAAGUGACGGUAGGUGCAGAGAAAGCGCCGGCUAACUACGUGCCAGCAGCCGCGGUAAUACGUAGGGCGCGAGCGUUGUCCGGAAUUAUUGGGCGUAAAGAGCUUGUAGGCGGUUGGUCGCGUCUGCUGUGAAAGGCUGGGGCUUAACCCUGGUUUUGCAGUGGGUACGGGCUAACUAGAGUGCAGUAGGGGAGACUGGAAUUCCUGGUGUAGCGGUGGAAUGCGCAGAUAUCAGGAGGAACACCGAUGGCGAAGGCAGGUCUCUGGGCUGUAACUGACGCUGAGAAGCGAAAGCAUGGGGAGCGAACAGGAUUAGAUACCCUGGUAGUCCAUGCCGUAAACGUUGGGCACUAGGUGUGGGGGACAUUCCACGUUUUCCGCGCCGUAGCUAACGCAUUAAGUGCCCCGCCUGGGGAGUACGGCCGCAAGGCUAAAACUCAAAGAAAUUGACGGGGGCCCGCACAAGCGGCGGAGCAUGCGGAUUAAUUCGAUGCAACGCGAAGAACCUUACCAAGGCUUGACAUAUACUGGACUGCGUCAGAGAUGGCGUUUCCCUUCGGGGCUGGUAUACAGGUGGUGCAUGGUUGUCGUCAGCUCGUGUCGUGAGAUGUUGGGUUAAGUCCCGCAACGAGCGCAACCCUCGUUCUAUGUUGCCAGCACGUGAUGGUGGGGACUCAUAGGAGACUGCCGGGGUCAACUCGGAGGAAGGUGGGGAUGACGUCAAAUCAUCAUGCCCCUUAUGUCUUGGGCUUCACGCAUGCUACAAUGGCCGGUACAGAGGGUUGCGAUACUGUGAGGUGGAGCUAAUCCCUAAAAGCCGGUCUCAGUUCGGAUUGGGGUCUGCAAACUCGACCCCAUGAAAGUCGGAGUCGCUAGUAAUCGCGGAUUCAGCAAACGGCUGGCGGUGAAGACGUUUCCCGGGCCCUUGUUCACACCGCCCCUC
rnacentral:rRNA from 1 species